rnacentral:tRNA from 1 species
CAAGCUAAAUCUAAGAGAUGAUAUUAUUUACAAUAAUGUUUAGGUUCGUGCAAUUCGUUCUGGCUUGA